GGCGGAAGUCCUCCUUCACGCCUUUGGUGAUGCCUCGAGUUACCGUGUGGUGCCUGAGGUCAGCGACAGGGAAACAGAUGAAGACAGAGAUCCAUAAUGAUUUUUAAAUCGAACACAAACACACUGGCAACUUAUGGAAAAAAAUAAGAAAUGUUACAAUAUUACAACCAGAUGGUUUGCCAAGGAAUGCAGAACAAAUUAAAAAAAUAAAUAAAGCAUGAAAAAGAGCACUGAGGAACAAAGAGCAGAAAACCAUGGGCAGUAAACAUGUUGACAAACAGCACACUAUGAGCAGGUGUUUGUUCCACUUGGUACCUGUCAGCAGUCUGUAUGCUGGGCUGAAGCACAGGUAAGAAUUCCUGCUGCAGCAACCCCAUGGGAGGGCUAGAAGGCCUUUAAGAAACAGCAAACAGCAGCAUUCAAACACCCACACCGACUCACCCUGCACUGCAAAAACAACACUCCAGAGAAAAUACACAAGACUGGAAGCAGACUGUACAGAAACUCGGUAACCUCAACAAGCCCCUGGCCGCAGCUGUGUGUUUUAGGAGCUGAGGGAGAAGCUAGCAAGCCCUCACUGCACCCGCUGCCGGUGCAUGUCCAGAGGCAUCUCGGUUCCUGGUCCCAGAGCUCAGCCCACUUGAGAUUUGGUAUAAAAAGCAACCAGUGAGGAAGAGGACAAUGGAAUGCAGUUGAAUGGCAGUGGGGAGCAGGGUCAACAUUUGAGAAGACACAUUUUCAAAGCCAGCCUCUUUCCACUCUUCUUGUGCCCACGCCAAUCCCAGUAGUCAACCUGGGGAUGUUUGGUAACCAUCUUUCACAGGGUUGAAGCCCCGACCUGGAGGGGCCCUUCCAAGAGGACUAGAAGGGCUGGCAAUGUUUUCGAUAAAGAAAGGGUUAUUAAAACAACAACAACAACAACACUAUGAGCAAAGCAAGAUGCAUCUGUGAGCUUAACUCAUGGGCCAUCAGGUGUGUCCUCUGCUGUGACAGGACACACAGACCUAGCUGGACACAUAUCAGGUGGGCACAGACUGUGGGAUGGGAUGAAAACCAGAAGGAAAUCAGCUAGGACAGUGAAAACAAAAGUGGAUGGAAAUCCCAGAUCGGUUGGAAGGCCAGAGAAUGAGAACAGGGCCUGCUAAAUGAGCAUGUAACAGGUGAAAACACAGAAGGAUAGGCAGGCCCAGAAGAUUUAAAAUUAUUAUACAGCCUGGAUGCCAAACCUGGGAGAGAUCAGUGGGAAUUCCCUCCUUUACCAGAUGUUCGCUGAAUGCCUGCUUUGGCUCAGGCACUGCACCUGCAGAGUGGCUCAGGCACUGUUCAGCUGCUCGGGGUGCAGUUGUGGAUAAGCUGGACAAAGUCCUAGACCCACGGAGCUUGUACUCUAGUGAAGGGACACACAGUAAACCAACCAACAAGCAAAAUGAGUUAUGCAGGGAAUUAAAGCAGAGUAAGAACAAGAGAAAACUGGACAGCUACUAAAGAUGCAUGCCCAGGGGAGGCCUCAGAAGGAGAAAUGUUUGGGCUGGGACUGAAUGACAAGGACCUAGCCUAGCUGAGAUCUGAGGGAAAAACCCACCACUUACAGAGCACAGCCUCGACAGGGGGCAGAGGCCAGGAAGCAGGCAUGGGCUCAGAGCAUGAGACUUGCUCAGGGAGGCCAGUGUGUCUUGCUCAGUGUGUGUGCAGUACGGAAAGACCAGCUCAGGAUGUACUUUGUAAGGCAAAGUGAGGAAUCUGGAUUUUAGUCUAAGUGUCUUCCCUCUAAUGGGAAGCCCUUAGAGGAUGAAAAGCAGAAGAGCAAUGUCUGAUUCAUAUUUCAAAAAGAUCAUUCUGGCUGCUGGGGCAAGAAGAGGUAGAGUGCAAGGCUGAAAGCAGGAAGACAACAUAACUACUCUGACUGCAUAGGAAAGAGACUAUGAUGGCUUGAGCAGGGAGGCAGCAUAAGGAAGAAGAGAAACUGAGGGACUGAGGCUCUGUUGUAUAUGCUGAAUUUUAUGGGGGCACAGCAUUACUUUUACUUAAAACUAA